ACUCCUACGGGAGGCAGCAGUAGGGAAUCUUCCACAAUGGACGAAAGUCUGAUGGAGCAACGCCGCGUGAGUGAAGAAGGUUCGCUCGUAAAACUCUGUUGUUAAAGAAGAACAUAUCUGAGAGUAACUGUUCAGGUAUUGACGGUAUUAACCAGAAAGCCACGGCUAACUACGUGCCAGCAGCCGCGGUAAUACGUAGGUGGCAAGCGUUGUCCGGAUUUAUUGGGCGUAAAAGCGAGCGCAGGGUCGGUUUUUAAGUCUGAUGUGAAAGCCUUCGGCUCAAACCGAAGAAGUGCAUCGGAAACUGGGAAACUUGAGUGCAGAAGAGGACAGUGGAACUCCAUGUGUAGCGGUGAAAUGCGUAGAUAUAUGGAAGAACACCA
rnacentral:rRNA from 1 species